AUGGAGGCUAUUUGAGUGUGAAAAACCAUAGGCCUACAGUUAGCCAUUGUUAGCAACUAGCUAGCGUUACCUUAAUAACAUCUAUCAACCAAGGCCUGUCUCCAACGCGAAUUUAACACUGCCUGUGUCAAUAGAGAUGGAGAAUGGGAAGCCUGAUCUGUUGCUAGUCAAAGAGGAGAUAAGAGGACGGACCAGCGAACAUUGAUCUGCUGAAGAUGGAAGAGCAAGGUGGUUGGCUGGAGGCUAACAGAGGAGAGUGCGUAUCCAUCUUGGAUUCCAAGACCCAGAUGGGUGCAGCCAAGGGCCUAGGGGACAACAUCACAGAUCAGGCCAGGACCAGAGGCGACAUAGUGGAGGUCAAUGGAUAGGACAGCGUCUUCAAAACUGGUCUGGGGACAACACUUUUCACCACAACCAGAAACUGACAGUUUAACACAAAACAACAACCUUCGUCUCCAUGACAACAUACUGGCUGAGACUAGGGCGAGGCGUAGAUUUUGUCUUCUUCAUUCUUGAAUCAACACAUAUGGACUCUUUUUUUUUUUACUUCAAUGGCUCCAUAUUGUUAGGUACUUGAAUCCCAGUUUUAGAGAUGGGCUUGACUGUGGUUAACAUUUUAUAAUUAUCAUGUUUCUGUGAGUACAGAACAUUGUUUUUUAAUAUAAACCUUUAUGCAUUUCUGUACAAUUUGUGU